rnacentral:rRNA from 1 species
GACGAACGCUGGCGGCGUGCCUAAUACAUGCAAGUCGAACGAAGUUGUUUUAACUGGUGCUUGCACCGACUUAAACAACUGAGUGGCGAACGGGUGAGUAACACGUGGGUAACCUGCCCCAAAGCGGGGGAUAACAUUUGGAAACAGAUGCUAAUACCGCAUAACCACAGAAACCUCAUGGUUUCUGUGUACAAAGAGUUGGGUUUCGGCUAUCUACGUUUGGGAUCGGACCCGCGGCGUUAUUAGCUUAGG